CCCAAGAACAACAAUCAGUGUUGACAUCCCAGAGGUCAAAAUUGGAAGAGAAAGUAAAAUUAGGGGCACAGUAAAGAUGACGCUGCAAUUGCAGCAGAGGAGCUCUCUGGUCAUCAAGGCAUUGCUGAGGGAGAUGAGUUUGAGGAGGUGAAAAAGACAAGACAAGAGAAAGGAAGCAUGAGAAGAGGAAGGGUGAAAUAAGGAAAUGAAGAGUGUUCAUGUUGGUUGGGUGUGAAGAAGGAUUGUGCUUGGCAUACAACUUAUUUAUACACAAAUGUGUAGUUUUCAUGUUUGGCAUAUAACUUAUUUAUUAUUAGUAUUAUUAUUAUUAUCCCAUGCUUGCAAAGGUUGACCAAAAAGACUUAACUAAAGUGGUGGAACAUUAUUUUGAUGCAGUAUUGAUUGGGCAAAAAGACUUCGAAAUUGCAUGCUAUGCCAAACAUGAAAACUACACAUUUGUGUAUAAAUAUUAGACAUAUUAGAGGGAUUGAAACUGAAAUUUAACAUUUUAUUGUAAAUUUUUUUUUUAAAAAAAAGAUAAAGGAAAGGAAAGGAAAUAAAUUAUAGAUUAAAUCUCAAAUUUAGGCAUAUUAAAGAAACUAAAUUUUAAAUUUUUUUGUAAAAUGUAAAAUUAAAAAAGAAAAGGAAAAAUGAUUGGGUAUGCGACAUGUAAAAAGAAAGAAGGUCGAAACCAAUUUUUAUAUAUAAGUAUAUAGAUUAUAUAUAAUUAUUCUUACAUAAUUUAAUUUUUUUAAUAAAAAUUACUAUUAAAAUCUUUUAAUUAAAUUUUGGUAUAACACCCAAAAGAAUUAAUUUAUAUACCAAACUAAUUUAUAAAUGAGUACUUUUAAGUCCUAAUUUAUGAAACAGUACCAAACUUAUAAAUAUGCUAUGACCUAUUGAAGGGUUUAAUUAAAUUUAACACCCCAAAUUAUAAGUUGCAUCAUUCUAAAUUUAUCUCUAAACUUCAAAAACUUUUAACUAAAUAAUAGUAAAAUAUAUUGUUGGUCUUAGUCUUAGUUUUAAUAUUUGGGAUUGCAAGCGAAUUUCUAAGUCUUAGUAUAAGAAUAGAAUGUUAUUAACCUUAGUCAUGAAAAUAAUGUUUCUACCACUUUUCUUAACUGAUUGAGAGACAUUGAUGGGUCAAAGACUAAAUUUUGUUGGUGACUUCUCAAUGAACUUGUCCAAGUGUAUCAAAUCAAUAGAAACACAAUGAAACUAAAUAAUGGUUUGGUUUGAGGAAAAUAUAAGCUAUUCUUAGUCUUUGCUUUCAUUUGCACAAUGUUUGGCACUUUUCUUAUCAUAUUUGAACUUCACUCCAUAUGUUUGCUUUCAAUUUAAAACCAUAUUUAUUAUGUGGAUUAAAUCAUAGUAUUGUUAUUCAAAUUUAAAAUAAAGAAAUUAUUUCUCAAGGUAUCUAGUUGGUAAGUAAAUAUUUGCAUUUUGUUAGCCCAUUUACAGAGUAGAUGCCAUAGUUUUAAAAGUUGCUUCACAAUUAAGCCGAGGAUCGAAUCCUCGACCACGGAUUAAGGUAAGAAAGACUCUUACCAUCUCAUCUAACUCUAGUUAUUAAAAUUAAAAUUAAUUUGAAUACCAUAAAUUCAAAUAUUAAUAUUUACAUCUAUUCCAAAUUCAUUAUACAUAAUAAUUAAAAUAUUCAAAUCUAAAUAUUAUCAAAAUUCGUACUCUGGUGAUUAAAAUAUUUGUAUCCUAUUAGUCAUAUUAAUUAUGAUAUUUUCGUCAUUUUGCUUCAUCUUUAUUCUAUUAUGAUAUUUUCAUACUAUUAAUCAUAUUUGAUGUUCGCGAUUUAUUGAUAUAAAAUUUUUAGACAUUAAAUGAUGUUAUUAUUCUAAAUAUAUGCAAGCUCGACUUUGAAGUCCAACCUAUUUUAAACAUCUUUCCUUGUUGAUUGUGGAGAAUGGACCGUGAUUGCAUUGAAAAUACCAUUGAAGAAUAAUAAUUAAAAUAAUCAUAUUUUAUACUAUAAAAUAUUUAUUAUUGAAUAUUUAUAAAUUAUAUAUAUUUUUCUCAUUAAAAUAUCAAUAUAAAUAUUUUUUAAUUAUAUAUUAAGAAUAUUAUUUAAAAUUAAAUUAAAUUAUUAAAAUUUAUUAAUAAAAUAAAAUUAUAAUAUUAAAAUUAAAAAUAUAUUAUUAAUAUAAUUAUAUUAAACUUGAUUCAAAUUAAUUUUGUAUAUAAAGAUAAAAAUAUUCAUAAAUAAGCUUUGUUCGAUAAAUUAAUUACGUUUUCCAAAAAGUCAAAUUAAUUUACAGAAAAAUGAUAUUAUUUAAAUUUCCAUACUAAAAUACUUUUAAAUUUAAUUAAAAUUAUCAAAGACGAAUGAAAUUCAUGAAAUUAAUUUAACAACUUUUCAAUUUUUCGAAAAAAUCAAUUUGAUUCUUCUUCUUUUUUCAAAAUUUAUCAAGCCAAUUGAAACACAAAAAAAUUUAAUAUUUUUAAUUUUUGACUGACAAAAAAAAUGAUACUAUGAGAUAUUUUUUAUAUUAUUAGACCUAAUCUUAAUCUUUGGCAUUCCAUGCAAAUGUCUAAAUCUUUUUGCCCCUUUACUACGGCAUUAAAACAAUGUUUAGCAAAUUUCUUAGGGAGAUGGAUUGAUGGAUAUAAGUAGUGGAAAUUUUGAUGAUACAAUUCUUCUCUUCUUAACAAUUUCUUUCAAAGAAACAUAUUUAAAUUUCCACACCGAAACUUCUUUAAUUUAAAGGAAUAAAUCUUAAAAUUAUAAACUAUGUGUUAAUGUGUAAUUGUAUACAUGAAUUUUGAUUUUAUGCAAUGUUAUACAUGAAAUUUUGAUUUGAUUCAAUUCUUGUAAUUUAUUAACACAAUUAUUGAUAUAACAACAUUUUAUGUCUAUAUAUUGUAUACAUAAAUAAUUAUAUUUAUCUAAUAUAAAAAUAAAUUGAUGUUUUUAUUUCAUUAAAUGUGUAUGAUUAAAUCAAAAUUAAAAUUUGAAUUAUACAUUUGAACCACAAUUAGAGUUCCACGUGUAUGAUUACACCAAACUAAAGUUCAUAUAUAUAAUUGCACAUUAAAUUAAAGUUUAUAUAUAAUUUUAAGUUUUAUCCCUAUUUGAAAUUAUCAAAGACAAAUGAGAUUAACGAGAUGUAUUAUAUUAUAAACAAAGUUCGAUUCUUUGAAAAAGUUAAGCUCCAAUUUCAGAAGUUUUUUUUUCCAAAGUUUAUCAAACGAAUUCAAACACUAUGAGAUUAAACAACAUAUAAUUUUUUAAAUCUAAAAUAUGGAUUUUUUUUCUUUUUUAAAUCUAAAGUCAGUUCCAAUUUUCUAGUGUUUUAGAUUGUUUACUAACACUAAAAAGCACACCACAUUGUAAGGCAUCAUUUCUUUCAUUGUAUUUUUUUUUUUACGUAGACACCAAAAUUUCAUCGGGAUACAAAUCAGCACUUUGUGGUAAACUCAAUUUAACUCAAUUUUAAUUGUAGCAAAGCUUUUAACCGGGGGCUCUUUUUCCACCAUUUUUCUUCUAACACUUUCGGCUCCCAGCACUCUGGAGGCAUCCUCCAUCACUGAACAUUCUUCACUCACCUUCAUCAUUGCCACCACCAACCACAUCAGCAUCAGAAUCAACAUAAUCAUCUUCAUCUCAGUCACCUCUCUCACCUCUAACCCAUACCAACAUUUUUAGGGUACAAAAUUGUGCUCCAAGACACAAGCAUAGUGACACCUGAGAAUCAUCCAAUUCAUCUUCAUGUAUACGAUUUCUAUAUCAUUGCACAACGUUUAAAGAACUUCGAUCCUAAAAGGGAUACUUCUAAAUUCAACCUUGUUGAUCCACCUGUGAGGAACACCGUUGGAGUGCCUGUGAAUGGAUGGGCAACCAUCAGAUUCGUCGCUGAUAAUCCAGGUAAACACCCUUCUUCAUCAUUUCAAUUACUGUGAUUCCAUUACCAAUUUUUUACUUGUUAUUAGUAUUUUUCUUAAUCAUUUUCAUAGUAUUGUGGCAUACCAAUUCUUCCCUGCAUCUGGGAAACUAGUUUAAUGCUCUGUUUCAUUGGAUAAAUUUCCCUAAAAAGUAUGUGUACAUUGUAAUAAUAGUGUGAGAUAGUGUCGGCCUUUGGCUAACAUUGGAAAACAUACUAGAUUGUAACACAAAAAUUCUUUCAUUAUAUUUUAAUUAUUAUUAUCAUAUUAUUACAUACAAAGUUUAAUUGAAUGGUAAUUUUUAACGUAAUAAUAUUAUCAUUGAAAGGAUAAAUAGACUAAUAUAAAAACAAGUGUCAAGCUGCACUAAAACCCGGACCAACGGGUCCACCCUUUACACCCAGACCUAAAGCAUAAGACGUGAUUGAAAAAUGCUUGUAGUCAUAAGAAACUAAUUACCAUUUUCUUCAAAGAUAACGUACCUCCUGACUGGAUAUUCCAUGUCCUGUGCAUUGCUAAAUGAUACAUAAAAUUACAAUAGAAUCUGGAAAAUGAAUGUCAAUGCUACGAGUAGGAUAUGAUAGAGAAAUUUACUUUUCAACAACUAUAUAUAUCAACUACCUUUUCAAAUUAGAAAGACUAAUGCUUAAUUAGACUAAUGCUUAAUUACCAGCUAAUUUUGAAACAAGAAUUCUGAUGGAGUCACCUACACCUUACCUUAAACAUGAUAAUGCUGGCAAUUAUGGUGAACGUUGUGAACAUGACAUAGUAAACAGGACAUACAACAGUAGUAUGAAAAGUGUCUAAAGCAUGCAAAAUUGUAAGCUUUUAGUAGCAUCAAGAAUAAUAACAACUUAAAUUUAGAGUCAAUCAUCAUAUUAAAUCAAGAAUAUAAGUUGAAAGAAAUUAUUUUUUUAAAAAACACAUUUAUGCUUUUUUAUCCUAUAAGCAAUUUAAUAAUGAACAAAUUGAUCUCUCAACAAAAAUUACAAAAUAUUUCAAAAUAGUUUUUAAAAUUCAAAAUAUUUAUAAAAAAAUUAAAUUAUAUUUAUUUUUUCAAUUGUAAGAAUAUUUUUAUUAUUUUGUUUUGAAAAAGUUUUCAAAUGUAUAUAGUUUUAAAUUUAUGUGCUCUAACAUUGAAUUAGUUAUCCUAUAACAAGAUUUUAAUUUGACAUAUUUAAUUUUUUAAUUGAACUUGAAUAAUUUCACUCGAUUCAAUUUGACUCGAAUUUUAUUUCACUCGACUCAAUUCGAAAAAAUGUCAAAUCAAGUUAGGAUGAUAAAUAGGACUCAUUAGUUCAAUUAACUCAAAAAAUUUUCACUUGAUUCGAUUAAACACUCAUAAAAAUCAUCAAAAAUAAAUGAGACGGAGAUAAUUUGCUGAAGGAUAAGAUGAAAUGUGUUUUAGAAAUUAACAUUUUUUUUCUUUGGCAUGCAAGCUAAUGUUCAAGUCUUUUUACCCAAUAAUGAGUACUCCUAAAUCCAACUUAUAAAUAUGUUAUGAUCUACCAACGGGCUUAAUUAAAUCCAACACCCCAAAUUAUGGGCUCAACUCUAAAUUCAAGAUUUGGCAUUGCAUGCAAAUGUCUAAGUCUUUGCCCGAUCCUUACUAGAUGAAAACAAUGGUUUACCACUUUGUUUAAGUCAAGUCAUUAUAAACACAAAAAUAAAGCAUUUGUGUUAGCUGGUUGAGAUGGAUUGAUGAGUGAAAAUUAUGAUGACCACACAAUUUCUGCGAAACUUCGAUUGGUACAAAAUAAGUGCGAGGCUGUACCAAAACCCAACAUGUGUUUGAUAAAAUAAAAACCCAAUGUGUCAGCAAAAGGUGGGAGUAGCAGCAGCAGCUGUCUCUUUACACAAUCAGUACAAUGUCCAUCAGAUAUGGCUUUCAUGUUUGCUGGCUGUGAAGGAGGAUUGUUUCCAUACAACUUAUUUAUACACAAAUUAGUUCUUUCCAUACAUUAUUUUGAAUUUUGGACUAAGCCCGAUCACUACUGCAUCAAUGUUGUACCACUAACUUUAUUUUGGUCAAUUAAUAAAAAAAAAUGGAAUUGUGGUGAUUUUUUUUAGCUGAUUGAGAUAAAAUGAUGGCUCAAAGACUAAAUUUUCUCAUAACUUUGAUGACUUUUCAAUGAACUUAAAGUGUAUGGAAUCAAUAGAAAUUUAUGGAAUGAGAUAUUAUUGGACUUAGUCUUAGCCUUUUGGCACUGUAUGCAAAUGUCUAAAUCUUUUUUACCCCAUCAAAACAAUGUUUAGCAAGUUUCUUAUGUAGUUGAGAUGGAUUGAUGGGCACAAGUAGCGGAAAUUUUGAUGAUAAAAUGUUUACAAUUUUCCUCUUCUUAGCAAUUUCUUUGAAAGAAACAUAUUUAAAUUUUCACAAUAAAAUUUCUUUAGAUUUAAUUGAAAUUAUCAAAGAAAAAUGAGAUUGACAAGAUAUCUUAUAUUAUUAACAAUUUUUCGAUUCUUUCAAAAAAUUAAUUUCAAUUUCAAAAGUUUUUUGAAAUUAAUAGAACUAUCAUUGAAAGGAUAAACAAACUAGUAUAAAAAUAAGUGUCCGGCUGAACUAAAACUCAGACCAACAGGUCCACCCUUUACACCCGGUCCUAAAGCCCAACACGUGAUUGAUAAAAUAUAAAGCUAAUAUCUGUUUGGAAGAGCAAAGGAUGAGAGUAGCAGCAUCUGCGUCUCUUUACACAAUCCGUCCAAUGUCCAUCAGAUAUGGCUUCCAUCAACAUCAUGCCAUUAAAUCUCCUCAGCUGUACAAAUAUUCUGAAGAUAAAAUAAUUGAAGUAAAAGUAAAUUGCAUAUAAAAGAAAGCUUGGGCAGCCAUUUCCUUGUUUAUAAUAUCAUUAUUAGCAUGGAAAUUCAGUAGCAGUGAAACAUUGCAUCCCCCAAAUCCACAGGGACCUGGAUGCAAAAUGAAUAAACACUAAUAUAUACUCAUGGAAAACUACAAAAGGAAAAAAGUGCAUAUAAAGCAAAAUUACAAACCAGUGGAUUGAUCUUGUUAGGAUCAUUGCCUACAUUCUUCAUGAACCUCACAACUGUACAUUCCAUGUCCUGCUUCAAGUACCUCCUGCAUUGCUCAAUGGUAACAUCAAAUUACAAGUACGAUAUAAUAGUGAACUUGGUAAAGACAGCAAAAAAUGAGGUUAUAUAUAUAUAUAUAUAUAUCAACUAUCUGUUCAAAUUAGAAAGACAAAUGCUUACCAGCUAAUUUUGAAGAAAGAAUUCUGAUGGAGUCACCUAUAUCUUCUGCUAUUUCUUUUCCCACACUUUUUGAACUUGUCCACCCAUUUGUUUCCCAACUCAUUCAGCACUGUAUAUCCAAUACAUAGCCCAACGACUAAUCCACUAGCAUAACCUAUCAACGCAAUUUUCCAAGUAGACAGAGCAUAUAACCAUGAAUCUUCAUCUUCCCCUGGAGGUGGUGGCAUUGGAAGACCAACUUCAUUGCAUUUUCUUGACAAUGGCAGCCCACACAAUUUUGGGUUCCCACGGUAGGAAUCAUUUGUAAAUGUAAUGAAUUGGUUGCUUUGUGGUAUGCUCCCUUCAAGUUGGUUGUAUGACAAGUUCAAUGCUUCCAGGAAAGUUAGACUUGUAAGUUGUGGAGGAAUCUUCCCUGACAGCUUGUUUCUUGAGAGAUCCAAAGAUUCGAGGUCUUUUAGAUUUUGAAGUGCUAAUGGGAUUUCACUAGAGAAGCUAUUGUUGGAUAAGUUCAUCACUCUGAGUGACCUCAGCAUUUGUAUUUCUUCUGGUAUUCUCCCAUGGAAACUAUUGUUGGAAAGGUCAAGACAAGUAAGAAUUGCCAAGACUUUUUGGUAGAACAUUUCAAUCCCUUUGUUAACAAUUGUCACAGAGUCUUGAUAAUAAUUCUCUCCGAUAUAAUUCAGCUUAGCCUUUUCGUCAUUAGUCAUCUUCGCCAUUGCCUUCAAACUCUGCAAAAAUUCAAUGGACAAGUCACCUGAAAAAUUGUUGGAAGCAAUGUCCAAUAUACGUAGCUUUGGAAACCCACAUUCCGUGUCGAUUUUUGAAAUUGUACCGUAGAAUCUGUUUGCUCGCAAAACGAGAACCUUCAAGGAAGGUAGCUUCUCUAGCCAAAAUGGGAAUGUAUCAUGAACCAUAUUAUUUCCGAGGUCCAGAACCUCAAGUGCUGUGCAAUUGGCUAAUGAUCUCGACAGCUUCCCUUCCAAUUUAUUCCCACCUAUUUUGAGUGACCUUAGUCUAGUGGGUUGAAGGAAAUCAAUGGAUAGUUCACCAGAAAACUGGUUUGAAGCAAUGUCCAAUACAUCCAAAGUUGGGAAAACAGAUUUAUGUUUGAAAUGUUUAAUUUGACCAUAAAACCUGUUUUCCCGCAAAAUGAGAACCUUUAGCGCAGGCAAUUUCUCCAACCAAAAAGGGAAUGUAUCAUUGAUCAUGUUGCUUCCUACAUCCAAAACCAUAAGUUGAGUGCAUUUUGCUAAUGAUCUGGGCAACUUCCCUUCCAAUCUAUUCUCACUAACUUUCAGAAAUUGCAGUUGGGUUGCUUUUGAAAAUUUUGGUAUCAUUCCACUGAAGUUAUUUCCUUGCAAACCCAACCAACUCAGAGCACUCAUAUUGCCCAAGCAAUUUGGAAUUGGGCCACUCAAAUUGUUAUAAGAUACAUCGAAACUGUAAAGUUGACUCAUAUUGCAUAACCAAUUUGGAAUUGGGCCACUCGAAUUGUUAUAAGAUGCAUCUAAACCGCUAAGCUGACUCAUAUUGCAUAACCAAUUUGGAAUUGGGCCACUCAAAUUGUUAGAAGAUGCGUCGAAUUCUUCUAAAUUUUCUUGACUCUUUAAGAACUCCGGAAAUGCACUUAUGUUACAAGAUUCCAGACGCAAUCGCCUCAACAUUGGGAAAGAGAAGUUUGCAUCACUUAAAGGAAGUUGUUUUGGAAAAUCAAUCACAUUGAAAGAAAGGUCUAAGGAUAAAAGACUGCUCUUCCACAACCAAUUAGGCACAACACCAUGGAUAUGGUUGCUAGAAAGAUCUAAGUCAACCAACUUGUCUUGUGUUUUGAUGAACUCUGGAAACGCACUUAUGUUACAGGAUGUCAAACGCAAGUCUUUCAACAUUGGAAAUGAAAAGUUUGCAUCAUUUAAGGGAAGCUGUUUUGGAAAAUCAAUCAUAUUGAAAGAAAGGUCUACCCAUGAAAGACUGCUCUUCCACAACCAAUUGGGCACAAAACCAUGGAUAUGGUUGUUAGAAAGAUCUAAGCCAACCAACUUGUCUUGCCUUUUAAUGAAUUCUGGAAAUUCAGUAAGGUUGCAUGACCAUAGCCUUAGUGUCUCUAAUUGGGGUAAAGUAAGACUUCUGUUGUCGCUUUCAAUUAACAAGCUUAUAUUGUUUAGCCAGAGAGUCCUUAAGUUGUUGAGUUGGACAAACAUGUCAAGCUUCAUGGAACUGAAGCUAUUGCUUUCAAUAUAAAGCCAUUCAAGCCUUGGAAGUUGAAGGAUUGACUUUGGGAUUGGUCCUGUUAAAUAAUUAUUGCCUAUAUAUAGUUCUUGAAUCAAAGAAGAAGAUGCAUUGGGGAACUCAUCAAUUUUCCCAACCAAUUGAUUUUCUCCAAGAUACAAGAUCUUCAACGAUGGAAGAGUAAAUAAAGAAGAAUGUAUUGAUCCAGAAAGCUUGUUCCCUCCUAGAUAUAGGUUGACCAGGUGACUAAGAUUUGCAAUUGACGAUGGAAUGGGUCCAAAAAAAUUGCAAUCAUCAAGCUCUAAAUUUGUCAGGAACUUGAGGUUACCAAUUGAUUGGGGUAGUUUUUCACUGAAAUUUGUAUAAGAAAGCGACAAACUCUGUAAAGAAUUGUUUGAUGAAAAUUCUGGCAACUGACCCAUAAGUUGGUCAUUAUCUGAAAUGUCAAUGCUUUGCAUUUUUGGCGAUAAGAGAUUUUCAGUUGGAAAAUGGCCACUCAAAUUGCAGUUCCUCAAACUGAGAGAAACCAAACGAGAGGAAAUUUCCAAGAAAUUGGGAGGUAAAUAAGAGAUUGGGUUCCAAUCAAGGAUAAGUUUGGAAAGAAAAGAGAGUCUUGAGAGUGAAGAACAUAAUGGACCUUUCAAACCACAGCUUGACAGACUCAACACAUGCAGGUUUGGAAGUACAAGAGAUGUGGUUUCACACCAUUUAGUACUUUGAGUUGAAAUGUCGACACCAUCCAAAUAAAGCUCCGUGAGAAACUUCAAAUUCUUGAUAAAUGUCUUGAAGUUUGGUUUCUCCAAUUUUAAAGUAGCUGAAUCAUAAUCGUAACCAUUUCUCAAAUAACAAGAACCUUGAUUGGAUAGAUCAAGAGAGACUAACCUUUUUAAGAAUGAGAUCUCCACUGGAAUUUGGCCAUGGAAACAUGAGCUUGAAAGGUUGAGAUGAGUUAGAUUUUGGAGUUCAUCAAACCCAUAGGAAAACAGAGUGGUAUUAAAGUUGUUUCCAGCAAGAUUCAGGUGUUGAAGAUGAUGGAGAUCGAAUAUGGAGUGAAAGCUGCCUGAAAGGUUUUUGUAACUAAGAUCAAUGCCAACGACAUGACCAUAAGCAUCACAAGUGACUCCUUCCCAAGAACAACAAUCAGUGUUGACAUCCCAGAGGUCAAAAUUGGAAGAGAAAGUAAAAUUAGGGGCAUAGUAAAGAUGAUGCUGCAAUUGCAGGAGAGGAGCUCUCUGGUCUUCAAGGCAUUGCUUAGGGAGAUGAGUUUGAGGAGGUGAAAAAGACAAGACAAGAGAAAGGAAGCAUGAGAAGAGGAAGAGUGAAAUAAGGAAAUGAAGAGUGUUCAUGUUUGUUGGGUGU
rnacentral:lncRNA from 1 species